GUGCUUGCUUUGGCAGCCCCUACACUAAAAUUGGAAUGAUAUGGAGGUGGCUUCUGUGCAAGGAUGAAAAGAAAAUUCUUGAAGUGUUGCAUAUUUUU
ensembl:snRNA U6 U6 spliceosomal RNA